rnacentral:lncRNA from 1 species
UUACAUUCAUAAUAUUAAACUCAUGUUCAAUAUGCAAUACAUACAAACAAUUGCACUCUUCUAUUCAUCACAAGAUAUCAUUGGCCAAUGUGUUCAUUCAAUAUAUAUAGAAGAUUCAUUAGUUUUCUUCACUCAAGUUAGCUACAACCAUUACGGAAAUGCACAAGUCACAUAUACUAGAGAGGCAUGUUACAAACAUAAUGGCCAAAAUUCAUAAGAGACCAAGUGCUUGUUCACUGGACUGCUACUGCUACAGAAUAUUAUGGAAGACCAACUCUUCAAUUGCCAAACCAAAUCAACUUCUGUAUGAACAAAAUGUGUCAUCCGUGUUCUCAACAAAAGCAAUCACGAGAACAUCUUCAAUCAGCCAGUGGACUUGCUACUUUCUACCAUUUGUCCCUACAAAAGAACUCAUAUGUUUCAGCAAUCUUUGAAAUAAUACAAUGUAUUCAAAUUUAUGAGUUGCCUUCGAGUCCAAAGGUCUAAGAAACAAGCAUUAUUACAUAUACAUGUACCAGCAGUCAUAUAUGUAAUAGUGUACUUGGUGAAAACAAGUCAAUUUAAAGGACAUCGCUUGUGUUGCGGUUCAUGCAUGCUAUGAAACAUUUUGUGGUAUACAAUAGGGAUUCGCAUAUGUUGUUUUUUGCUAUGGUUAAAAUCCUAAAACUAAACAGAUGCUGCAAAAGGCUACAACACCUAUGUUUACCUAAAAAAUGCUUCAGGUGUAAUCCUAAUAUGUGGACUGAACUAAAUAUGCUUCGUAGAAAAAUAAUGGUCAAGUAUUUGUUUUUUGUGGCUGAUCUUUGAAAGAGAGCAAGUUUCAGUUUAGCUACUAGGAAUUGCACACUGACGGACAAUUGUUCCACUGACCGUAUUUGAACAAAUAUGCAAGCAAACAUUCAGUUUAGCUUGCGUACUAAAUCACACAUUUAGCCUGCGUACUAUUUGCAUGACAAUGGCGGUUGCGUUGCACACAUACAAAUGUAGAAACCAAACAUUCUAUGCUCUGCUAUAGCCCAGAUUUAGUAUCACCUUAUCUUGCCCUUAAUUCUUAUCUAUUUCCGAUAGAAACUAGAUACUCUAGUAGCCUCAUGCAUCAUCCAUUUAUAAUGACACUACAAACUGCACUACAUGUGUUUAGUUAUGAUGCAUGAAACCUGACAACAAAAUUGCAAAGAUUGCCCAAAAGAAGAAUAAUAUUGUUUAGCUCAAACUAUGGACCCUUUUCCCCAUUCUGAACCUAUGUCUUCCUACCCAAGCAUCAAGCGAAACAUGGCAAUGUCAACUCAUGGCAAAAAGUAAGAAUAAUACCUAGUGUUUCCAAAUUUCCGAUUCCUUGAGAAAAUAGAACUUGAUGCAUCUCUCCUAUUUAUCAUUGCAUUUUUUCUGUGUGCCCUAGUAGAGUAGAAACUUGUUCAUCUUCUCGAUGAAAUUGAAUUUCCAUUGCAAGUGUUGUUGGUGGUUCAGCUGCUUCUUCAGGUUGUUUCUGCAAAAAAAUAGAGCAAAUGAGGCACCUAAUUUAUUUCUACAAUGAAGUCAGUGCAAUCUAUACUUGUCAUCGAUUAAUAUGCAGUCACAUGCAUGGCUGUACUAAAGAAAAACACAUGAUGUGUAUGUGUGACUAACAAUUAGUGUCUCCGCUUGUGCGGUAGGAACUCCAAUUUUACGUGUAUGUGCUAUGACAAUAUUUCAUCUCUCUGCAUGUCAUAGCCAAGUUCUUCAGCCUGCAACAAUUUUUUCCCUAAUAAUUAGAAAACCAACUAAUCGGAUGCAUAACUUUCAAAAAGAGGUGCUUGAUUUUACCAAUUCAUGCCUGCUAUGAGCAUAACUCUUGAUGCCAGCUACACUUAGCAAUGACAACUCCGAAUAAACUUACUUCUUGGCUCGCUGGGACGAGCCGCCUACUUCCCCAGGGGGCCUCAUGUUUUCUCCCAAUGCUAAAUAUUUUCUUUUUAUUUCAACAAGAGCUCACAACUUCCUUUUGUUUUCUGCAAUACUUCCACCUCUUGUUCCUUCCAUCUUUUCUCCUGCAAGUGGCACAUAUCAGACCAUGAUGCUUAAUAAAAAAUAGUGCAAAAUAUGCAUACUGAGUAAAUUAUGUGAUGAGUUAAAUACAUGGCAACAACUUUUAUCGAGAAGCAGCAGGUUAAAACUGCACUAUCCACCAAGCAACUUCGUGUGAAUUAGUAGUAUAAUUAAGAAACAUAGUUAUGAAAAUAUAGAUAGGAGAAGUGGGCAUUCAUUACGAAUAUACAUACUAAAUAGACAAAAACAUAAAUAGUAGGGCGCCAAGGAAGAACAAACUGAGACUAGAGAAAUACAAUUUUCCAUUACCCCUUUCAUCCCUACAAUUUCGUGACUAUGAUUUCUGAAGUUUACGGAGAUCUCCACUUGAGCAGACUAAAACAGAAGUUAAAAUAAGAUAUGCCACAAAUAGACUUGAGCAGAGAGUAAAUGGAGGCUAUGUUAGCAGAUUCAGAAGGUUUCUUGAUUUAGUAAACAUUAAACUUGUGAUCCGUGAGACAACAAACAAGUAGAAAUAAUGAGCACCUAGAUUAGAAGUCUACUGGUUAGGAGUGAAAGAACAAGAAGAUAUCCAGUACAAGAAAAAGGAAAUUCAGAGACAUGAGAAAUAUGUUUGAGCUCCUUCUAGAACUGCACAGAUAUGGAGGUAGUGGUUCAGAAGUGUGCUCAUCUCCUCCUCCUCAUUCUUCCUCUAUGCCUUGAGCUCAUUCUGGAGCUGGUUUGCAUCAACCUUUUGUAAUCCUGCGGCACAAGAGUUGAAUCCAUUGAUUGGUACAUAGAUAGAUAAAAACACGUGACUGAAAUUCUGAAACUGAAGCAACAUCGAUACAAGUAGCGCAGAAAAAGAAAAAACAUUAAAUUGGUGUAUCAUUAAUUACUUUAUUGUGCAAAUUAAUUGUCACAGUUUGGAGCUUUUACGGAAAUGCAUGUCCUAUUUUGGAGCUAGCACUUAGGAAAUAACAUGUCCAAAUUAUCAAAAGUGAAAUAUGUUUGAUAUGAACUCUGAAGCAAUAACAACAAUCUUCGACAAGUCAAGGAAUAAACUAGCAGAUGGUUUACAAUAUAAUCCAUUGCCAAGCUAUAUAACACCCCCCGUAAAUUUGGGCUGCAUGUAUAACAAAAGGAAAGGCAAGUAGGUCAACAUACAUCGGAAGCAACUAAUGGCCACCACACCCCAUAAUCUCUCUCUUCAUUUUUUAUUCUCUAAAAUAAAUAAAUAAUGAUUGUGAAAUCUGAGGCACAACCGAAGGAAAAGCAAAUUCGCAUAAUCAUUUAAAACUUCCCAUACACUACAUACAUAGUCCAACUUUUAGUGUUAAUAUUGACCUUAUAACAUGUUCUGUACAAAGAUGCAAACUGAAAUACUAAUUUCACAAUUUUCCACCAGCACUUUUGGAAUGUGAGUUACUAAUUAGCGACAAGCACAAUGGCCUUCUAGGAAACUAAAUGUACAUACUACAUCGGGUAAAUUUUCCAAAUACAGGUGGCCAACAUAAUCUAUUCAGUCUGAAACUUAAGGUGCUGCAAAGGAUUGUGCUUCAUUAGUUCAAGAGAAGGACAUUUGGAUUGCUGGACCUCUCCUUUUUUCAUCCCUGAAGAAAUAAUUACUGUUGUGCAGUAAGCAAAUUCAGGCCGUAGGAAGGAGACGGACAGAAGGGGAGAGAAGAAAAAUGCUUACAUUUGUCCAUGGCGUCGGAGUAGCUGCGUCCCCGAAAGGGAAGAAGCAAGCACAUAGAGCACCUGCGUGCGGGUUUGAGGAAACCACAUCAGGAAGGGGAGCGGCCAAAACAAAACU